rnacentral:rRNA from 1 species
CAAUAGCGUAUAUUAAAGUUGUUGCAGUUAAAAAGCUCGUAGUUGGAUUUCUGGUUGAAGCGACCGGUCGGGCGUUGAUUCGUCUGCACUGGAGUCGGUUUUGGCCAUCCUCUAGGAAAGUGCGUCUGGUAUUAAGUUAUCGGGCGUAUGAUCCUGGUCUUUUACUGUGAAGAAAUUAGAGUGUUUAAAGCAGGCCUUCGCCUUGAAUACAUUAGCAUGGAAUAAUAAGAUAGGACUUUGGUCUAUUUUGUUGGUUUGCAGACCGAAGUAAUGAUUAAUAGGGAUAGUUGGGGGUAUUUAUAUUCCGAUGUCAGAGGUGAAAUUCUUAGAUUUUCGGAAGAUAAACUUAUGCGAAAGCAUUUACCAAGGAUGUUUUCAUUAA